rnacentral:rRNA from 1 species
CAAGGCGCAAAAGUGGGAGGGGGUUCCCCCAAGGGCCGCCCGUUGAGGAGGGUUUUUCCCCAGGGUAGGGCCUUGGGGGAAUAAAGGGGGGGCAAGACUGGUGUCAGCCGCCGCGGUAAUACCAGCCCCCUGAGUUAUGGGGACGAUUAUUUAGCCUAAAGCGUUCGUAGCCGGCUUUGCAAGUCUUUCGUUAAAUCUAACGGCUCAAUCGUUAGGCCGCGGAAGAUACUGCUAGGCUUGAGGGCGGGAGAGGUCGACGGUAGUCCCGGGGUAGGGGUGAAAUCCAAUAAUCCCGGGAGGACCACCAGUGGCGAAGGCGGUCGACCAGAACGCGCCUGACGGUGAUGGACGAAAGCUGGGGGAGCGAACCGGAUUAGACACCCGGGUAGUCCCAGCUGUAAACGAUGCGAGCUAGGUGUUGGGGUAGCUACGAGCUGCUCCAGUGCCGCAGAGAAGUCGUUAAGCUCGCCGCUUGGGGAGUACGGUCGCAAGGCUGAAACUUAAAGGAAUUGGCGGGGGA